CUGCCUGCUGUGGGGAGCGGCCUGCUCGGUGCUGCCUGGGCGGUGUCACGGCUCCGAGGGCCUCGGCGCGGCCCCGAGUCGGGGGUAGUCCUGCUUGCUCUGUGUAUUGUAUCAGUCUGCAGUCCUCAGGGAAGUUGGUGUUUUUCCACCCAGAAGUAUUAACUUCUUAGAAGAAACUGACUGUUUUUUCCCUCUUCAAUCCCUUUCCAGCUCUCUCCCACUACUUCUGCUGACUUCUAGAAGCACUUACUAGCACCAGAAUUAUCACAGAAACUUCCUCCUGGCUAAUAUUACCAAAGAAAGACCCACACAUAACAGCUACAGUUUGUCUUCAUGGUAUCAUCCUCCUAUAGCCAGUGGUACCACUGUGUGCCACCUGUGCAUGUCUGUUUUGGACAUCCUCUUCUCUUGGAAGGAAUCCUUCCUACUCAUUUUACCCUUCACUUCUCUUGGUGAUAUCAGCAUCAGUAUAUUCCCAAAAAAGUCAAUUCAAUGUGUGCAAAACAGGCUAGGUUGAAAUACAUGGAUGCUGACACAGUACUGCAAACCCCACAGAACCAAACCAGUAAUAUCAACAAGAACCAUCUGAUCCUAAUGCUGGGAAUAGCUGAACCCAUCUGCUAUGCUUUGUCUUGUCAGUAACAAAGUCUGGCAGGUCACUGGCUGCUCUCAGAGGAUGGACUCUGCUCUGCCACAAAGCAACAAGCCCCAGCUUGGACUUCUGGCCUCCAAAGAAAUUGCAGAGAGCUGGCUUGUCUCCGAGCUUAUAUAACUUUUAACAAACUAUUUUUAGGUGUUGGAUCUAGGUGAAUCAGCCAAACAAUCAAUGUAACCCUGUGAAAACAUUCUCUGAUUCAAAGAAAAACGCAUAGAAUAAAACAUCCUUGAGAACAUAAAUUAUGUUAUGUGGUAUUGUCAAUGCACUCAGGGACUGAUUCUGCUAGCCUGGCUCAUAGAGCAUCCAGGAAGCAUCGCUGUGGGUCUGAAGAGGACUGAUCAAUAAGGUACUUUUUAUGAGUGCAGGAAGUAAGCACAAAGCAGCAGAGGUAGUGGCAGAGUAAUUGUGUAGUCCCAAGGACUCUGAUCACACAAAAAAUCUCAGCUCUAAGCAUAUGAAUAGGAGGUUUUCUUAUUAUAUUUUGGCUGGGGGAUGGAGAAAUUUUACCACACAGCUUACUGAGCAAUGCUUCCACCAAAGUACAAACCAAAACCCAUUUGCAGAGCCAUUGGGCUAGAACAGAAGAAUAUUUUCCUUUGUAGCCAAGGCCCAACAUGCCAUCACCCAUUAUAGCACUGGAACCUCAGACAAGAAUAUAUUCUAUAAGAUGCAAUAUCUCAGAGACAGUCUCGGUAGUAAAAUAGCAAUCCUGAAUGGCUAGUGCUGGGGUGCCAAGCAAGGUUUCAACAGCUGAUCAUGCCACUCAGUUAUGUUUGCUUCUUGGCAAACGUAACUUGGGUGAUGGGAGCAUGCACAGACUGCCCAGCUUCACACCUCCUCUUUGAUGUCUCUGAGAGCAAUGCCCUCAAUCUGCAGGAACUUUGUUGCUGGUGGCACAGGGAUUAUAAGCAGACCAUAAUAUAUAUAAGACCAUAAUAUAUAUAAAAGAGGAUUUAAAUCAGGCUAAUAAGGAUUGGACUUUCUCUGCUUGUAUCUUCUGUAUUUUUUUUUUUUUAAACACAGACUUUCUCUCAACAG
ensembl:lncRNA